UUACCAACGGAGGCACCUGCGAGACCAGCAUCAGCGGGAGGAGAAGCCACAUCUCUCGGACUUAUCGGCCAUUUCGGCGGACUGCGCCGGAGUGGAAAGUUCCAGAAGUCGCGGGCGGUUGUCGCUAGAAAGCCAUGGCCACGAAGGAGACCACCUCGGCGGGCUCCGGCGGCGGCGUCAGCAGAGAAAUCACAGAGAGCAUAAGGAAGGUGCUGGACAAGCAGCCUAUUAAAUUUGUGCGAGCCAUCAAACAGGACACAAGAAGCGGAAAAACCGAGGACAGGAUUCUGGUCCUGGCAACAUGGAGACUGUAUCUCUUCGCUGUCAAAGUGCCCGCCAAGGUGGAAGUCACGUUCAACUUCUUGGAAAUCCGAGCGAUGAACACCUAUCCUGAGCACCAGGUGAUCAUCGACACAGACAAGACCACGUACUCGCUCAGACUGCAGUCCCAGGACCAGUUGGACCACAUGGUCAACCACAUUAACUUCGCCCUGUCCCGCGUCUUCAACAACUCCAUUUACGCACCACCAAUUUGUCGGGCAGAAGCUGAACUGACAGAUGGAAGUCUCAAGUUCUCGCCAAAUUCCGAUUCAUCAUUGGAACCCCAGAAAACUUGCGGAGGUUUUUCUGAGACCUACGCGGCUCUUUGUGAUUACAAUGGAAUCGGCUGCAAAGAGGAAGUGCAGUGGGAUGUGGACACUAUCUACCACUCGCAGGACAACAGAGAGUUCAACUUGCUGGACUUCAGCCAUUUGGACAGCAGGGACCUGGCGGUGAUCGUGGCCUCCAUAGCGUACAACACCUGGUUCACCAAGCUGUACUGCAAGGACAUGCGAAUUGGGUCAGAGGUCGUUGACCAAGUACUGCACACCAUCAGUAAGUCCAACAGCCUGGAGGAGCUCACUCUGGAAAACGCGGGACUUAAAUCAGACUUCCCACAGAAGAUGGCGUCUGCGCUGUCAGAGAACCCAGCCUCUGUGAUCCACUCGCUCAACCUGGCUCACAACACGCUAGACAACCAAGGAGUCUCCAAUCUCAUUCAACAAGUGUGUCGCCUCAACAAAGGCCUGCGUCUUCUCAAUCUCUCCAAGACCUCUCUGUCUUCCAAAGGUUUGGUAUCUCUGUCUCAGGCGCUGUGUUCGAGUGAUGAUUACUCCAAUUCGCUGCUGCAUCUGGAUCUCAGCAAAAACCCAGGGCUCCUGUCUGGAGAGGAUGCUACAAACCUGUACCUGUUUUUGGCCCAGCCCAACUGCCUGGUCCACUUGGAUCUGUCUGGAACAGAUUGCACCGUGGACUCGUUGUUUGGCGCAUUGCUGCGUGGCUGUUGUGCCGAUCUCUCCUACCUGAACCUGUCCAAGAACUCCUUCUCUCACAGGAAAGCAAGAGAUUCGUUGCCUACAUUCCGCCAGUUCUUCAGCUCCGCGUUCAGCCUGACCCACGUCAGCCUAGCGUCUGUGAAGGUCCCUCCUGAUUCACUCAGGGCUCUGUUCCUUGGUUUGUCCAACAACCCUCACAUAUCUGAUUUACACCUGGACAUCAGCAGCUGCGAGUUGAGGUCAGCCGGGGCUGGAGUGAUCCAGGAGCUGUUCCCUCGUGUUACUUGUGUGGGGACGUUAGACAUUUCUGAAAACGGUCUUGAUUCCGACCUGCUGUCAGUGAUCCCAGCAUUUUCCCGCCACCCGUCUCUCAAGCACCUGCUGCUGGGGAAGAACUUCAACAUCAAGGGCCGGGUGCUGGAGGAGGUUCUGCAGAAAUUGGUUCAGCUGGUGCAGGAGGAAGACUGUGCCCUGCAGUCUCUGUCCCUGGCUGACUCCAGGCUUCGCCAGCGGGGGACGGUACUGGUCAACGCCCUGGGCUCCAACACCUGCCUCAGAAAGGUGGACCUGAGUGGAAACGGCUUGGAGGAUUCUGGGGCUAAGAUGCUCAGCAAAGCUCUGCAGAUCAACACAACGCUCAGGAGUGUGACAUGGGACCGCAACAACACCACAGCGACGGGCUUCCAAGAUGUGGCACGAGCUUUGGAGCACAACUUCACUCUACAGUACAUGCCGCUCCCCUUAAGUGAUGUCGCACAGGCCCACCGAAGUGCCCCGGAGAGGACUGACCAAGCGUUGGCUAAGAUCCAGCGUGCUCUCCUGAGGAACAACCAGACUCAGCGCUUCUCACAGAAGCAGGCUCUGCGGCUGCAUCAGGGACUUGUCACCAGCACAGCUGAGCAGGUAAUGGAACGUUUGUGUAUGCGGGUGCAGCAGCAGGUGUGCAUGCUCAAGGGCAGUGAGGAAGGAGACGAGGUGCAGACGGCCAAACAAAUCCUCAAAGAAGCCCGGAACUCCAAAGCUCUGUAUCCGUCCCUGUGUGAGCUGGCACAUGUGCUGUCGGUCGAUGGUCCGGUCCGGCAGCGCCUCGACAAUCUGGCCGGGGAACUUGCCAAGGCUGCUGACAAGGAGCUGCAGGUGGUUGUGGACUCCAUGGUGUCGCUCUGCCGUGAGCUGUGCCCCAUGUCCUGCUCCGCAGCUGAGAGACUCAGUCCUCCUCUGUCAUCCAUCUCUGAGCAAGUCUCCAUCCCUCGCUCUUCAAUCCGCAACGCCCUGAUGGAGCGAGCCGCAGAGGACAUCAACACAGUGCUGGAGGAGGUGAAGUUGUCGGUCGUAUCCUAUUUAACCAACUCUAUCGUGGACCAGAUCCUCCAAGAGCUGUACAACAGCCAUAAAUCCUUGGUACUGCUGCGGCAGGUGUCUCAGGCCAAGCGCUGGGAUGAGGUCGGGACCGGCCGCCGGACAAUCAGACAGUCCAGAUUGGCCGAGUCUCUUGAUUUUCCGGAUGAAGAGCUGGGGGUCAACCUGGGAAUUGACACGAUGGCGAUUAAGAAACGGAGCUCCAGAACCCGAAGAAUCCGGCCUGUGUCCACCAGACUGAGCUUGGGAGACGAGCCCAGCUCCUCCCCUACUCCCCCCUCUGUGCCACACUCGGCUCCUCUCUCCCACUCUGCGUCGUGGGAGUGCCUGUCCACGCUCCCCACCAACGGCUCGCCCUUACGCCACGUGACCCACGUCCGGCCACGCCCCCCGCGGAGGCACAGAGCCGGUCACCUUCCCCCGGAAUCUCACUGCUCUGAGAACGGGGGGCUCAACAUGUUGGAGGAUGGACUGCCAGACUUCUACAGCAAAAGAGUUCUGCCUGACAGUCAGCUGUCGUCCCUCCAUCAAGGCCAGUCGCUGCGGAGGAAGAAGAGGCGCAGUAUGUUGUCCAUUUUUUCAGGCUUCAGAAAAAAUCGUAACUCCACCAUCUCCAAUCAGGAUUCGGACUGCGCCUCUGAGAACGUGUACUCCAUGAUUCAACACACCAAGGAUGCUGGGAAACCCGACAUCUCUGUGUGUGGCUCUAACGGAACAAUGGGCAUGCCUUCGCCUCGUGUCAGUCAGGGGGUCCCGGUGCAGGGCUACAGAACCUCCAGCCCCACAUGCCUCAUCCAGCGACAGUCCACAGACUUGGUCAGCAUGGUGUACAGCUGCAUCGGAGCCGAGAUCGAGGACUCCGACAGCAGCAGCACCUGCGAUUUCAAAGCUUCAGACCACGACGGCGACGGAUCCGCGGCCAUCUCCGAAACGCCCGAAGAGGUGCGGACCAACGGCCAUGUGGUGUCCUCCAAACAACAGACGGACAGGCAGAUGGAGGCGGGCAGGCAGGAGAGGAUCGUAGCCUUGACGGCCUCCCGGAGCGAGAUGAAGGAGGACAGACCAGGCAGUGAGGACGGAGCCCCCUGUGUGCCCAGGCCAGAGCCGCCUCCUCAGAGCACCAAGCCCAGUUUGUCGGCGAUGAGGCAACGACAUCUGCAGGAGAGUUUAGAAGAAGCUGGACGUCAGGAAUUAGAGAAGGAUCAGAGUGAAUGGAAGCGUGAGGAGAAACAAAUGGCUCGAGGACCCGAAGGGCAGCGCCCUCUGAUCCCGGCUAAGCCCAGUCUGGAGCUGAUCACUCCUCCAGAAAUCACCAGGAGCCCCACGAAAAGCUUGCCAGCCAGUCCCAUCAGAGAAGGGGAGAGAGAAGAGGAGAACAUGUCGCCCAGUGACAUGGUGAUCUAUGAUGAGGUGGCCACGGAGAGGAAGAGCCCAACUGCUGCUGAGCCAGCAGGUCCUGCCAGCUCUCACGGUAUCAGGCUUUCAUGCGUCAAGUGGCGGAGCAAAGGCCUCCAACAUCUGGUGGCUCUUGAGCUGUGCAGUAGAUAAUGUGAUGUUUUUAUUUAUGUAUAUGUUUAUAUAUCAUUUAUUCAGAUCAAGAAGAGGAUAUUUGUCAUUUACAUAUUGACUUUUCAUGCCACCAGAUGAGACAGAAAUGUCUGAAAAAAAUAAAUGUACUAAUGCAAUAAUACAGAAGAAAUGUAAAAAAAACAGUUAUGUCCAUAUACAUAUUUAUAAAGUAUAUGCACUUCAAAAUUCAUACAUAAUUGAUCAAGUACAUUUUACAUUAAUAUAAAAAUAUUCCAAUAAAAUAAAUUAUUUAUUCAGUUGGUUGUUAGUUUUGUUCCACAUUUAUUUACAUAUUUAAUAAUUUAGUAUUUUAAAUAUGUAUUUACUUAUUUAUCUAAUUUAUUUAUUAUUCACUUUCUUUUUUCUCCCCUGUACCAGAGGUCACGCUUGGCAAGCACAAGUAAAUUGAUAGCGCUUAUUUUCAUUUUUCAUUUUUAUUUUCUUAACUGACUGUUGCCUCGCCUGAAUACGACUCUUUUGAUUCACCAGAAAUGAAUUCAGAACAGAGUUGGCAGCCAAACUUCUCAUCGCUGUUCCAUGUGACUAUCAACAGCUGGAAAGUCUUAGUUCAGUGAACUGGAAAAUGUUUAACUGCUGUUUGCUUGUUUAUUUGGAGAGUGAAAACAGCAGGUGAGUCUCAACUUCACCUGAGGAUGAAGCUCUGGUGACGCUGCAGGACUUGGGAUUUACUUCCUCUUCCACCAGAAUAGAGUUGCUUUCACUCUUCACUCCACUCACGGAUUAGACUGAACACAUGCUGGCUGACCUGCUGCAGCUCUGAGAGUCGAUGUAAAGGCUUCUGCAGAUGUAAAAGCAACAAAGGAACAUUGUGCUGAUCGGCGCUACAGCGCUUCCUAACCUUCCGGGUCCUCAGAGGUCUGUGAGCGAAGAGGACCUGAUGUGUGUGUCACUGCAGAGUAGCAGCAGCCUUCCAAGGCGCCUAAAAACUGCCAUUUUAGCUUGACUACUGAUCAUUGUUUCAUUGCAGACCCUCUCCCUCUGCUGAGAGUAUCACCCACUAGUGUUCUAAACAACUGUUAAGAGAGUCAAGAGCCCUGUUUUCAUGGGAACUGAGUCCCUCUCUCUGAAUGACCUGAAAAUUACUUGUGUGUUUAGUUGAUAUCUGACAUGAACAGCGGGGCCUUUGAAUAAGAGACUUUGAAAGAGAGUUUGAAAACCAUGCAGGAUAUUUGGGGGUGAAUCUGGGUCCCGUUUGUACCUGCCAUGUUUCCUCUGAGCACUCCAGUUUCCUCCCACCGUCCAACAGCUCAGUUGAUGUCUCAAAAUGUGUGUCCACCACUCAGUCAAUAAAUUAAAUAUAUCUGAGGCAGUAGAGUGACCUGGCCAGCAGAUGUCAGUAAUUCACUUUUUAAAAACGAAAGAAAAGUAUUCCUGAUUCAUUUGUGCUGUGUUGCAUUGUGAGGCAGUGUGGGAGCGAGGAGUCUGCGUUAUCAGGAAACAAAAUAACUUUUGGUUUUUAUUGUUUUUUAAGUGGUUGGUGUACAGUAUCGAAGGUGGAGGAAAAAGGCCACAAUGGAUUCACAGCCACGUCCCAGCCGACAAGGAAGUCCAGCUCCUUCGACAC